rnacentral:rRNA from 1 species
CUCUUCGGGGAUGAUUAAACCGGCGCACGGGUGAGUAACACGUGAGUGGCCUGCCUUUUAGACUGGAACAACUUACCGAAAGGUGAGCUAAUGCCGGAUGAGUUAUAUAAGUGCAUGUUUAUAUAGGAAAAGUUGGGGAGACCUGACGCUGAAAGAUGGACUCGCGUCCCAUUAGCUAGUUGGUAGGGUAAUGGCCUACCAAGGCGACGAUGGGUAGCCGGCCUGAGAGGGUGGCCGGCCACACUGGGACUGAGACACGGCCCAGACUCCUACGGGAGGCAGCAGUGGGGAAUUUUGCGCAAUGCUCGUAAGAGUGACGCAGCGACGCCGCGUGAAUGACGAAGGCCUUCGGGUCGUAAAGUUCUUUCGACAGGGAAGAAAAUGCCUAUAAGUAACUGUGUAUGUAUUGACGGUACCUGUAUAAGCAGCCCCGGCUAACUCCGUGCCAGCAGCCGCGGUAAUACGGAGGGGGCGAGCGUUGUUCGGAGUGACUGGGCGUAAAGAGCACGUAGGCGGUGUUGUAAGUCAUUAGUCAAAGACUAGAGCUCAACUUUAGUAAGGCUAGUGAUACUAUAAUACUAGAGUAUCAGAGAGGAUUGCAGAAUUCCUGGUGUAGCGGUGAAAUGCGUAGAUAUCAGGAGGAAUACCGUUAGCGAAGGCGGCAAUCUGGCUGGAAACUGACGCUGAGGUGCGAAAGCGUGGGUAGCAAACAGGAUUAGAUACCCUGGUAGUCCACGCUGUAAACGAUGGAUGCUAGGUGUUGGGCU